GGGGAGGGACAGAGGGUGAGCCUGAGGGAAAAGGGGAUGUGGAGAGGGGGAACAGAGGGAUGAGGGUGAGGGAAAACGGAAUUUUGGCAGGAGGGACAGCAGGAUGCAGGUGAGGGAAAAGGGAAUGUGGAGAGGGGGAAUGGCGGGAUGAAGGUGAAGGAAAAAGGGAAUGUGGAGAGGGGGAAUGGCGGGAUGAAGGUGAGAGAAAAGGGAAUUUUGGCAGGAGGAACAGUGGGAUGCAAGUGAAAGAAAAAGGGAAUAUGGAGAGGAGGAACAGCGGGAUGCAAAUUAGGGAAAAAGGGAAUUUUGGCAGGAGGAACAGUGGGAUGCAGGUGAAAGAGAAGGGAAUGUGGAGAAGAGGAACAGAGGGGUGAGCCUGAGGGAAAAGGGAAUGUGGAGAGUGGGAAUGGCGGGAUGAAGGUGAGGGAAAAUGGAAUUUUGGCAGGAGGGACAGUGGGAUGAGGGUGAGGGAAAAGGGAAUUUUAGCAGGAGGAACAGCGAGAUGAAGGUGAGGGGAAAAGGGAAUUUUGGCAGGAGGGACAGCGGGAUGAGGGUGAGAGAAAAGGGAAUGUGGAGAGGGGGAAUGGCGGGAUGAAGGUGAGGAAAAAUGGAAUUUUGUCAGGAGGGACAGUGGGGUGAGCCUGAGGGAAAAGGGAAUGUCGAGAGGAGGAACAGCGGGAUGCGGUGUGAGGAAUAAGGGAAUGUGGAGAGGAGGAACAGAGGGAUGAAGGUGAGGGAAAAAGGGAAUUUUGGCAGGAGGAACAGCGGGAUGAGGGUGAAGGAGAAGGGAAUGUGGAGAGGGGGAACAGAGGGAUGCAUAGGAAGGAAAAGGGAAUUUUGGCAGGAAGAACAGUGAGAUGGGAUUUAGGAAGAAAGGAAUUUUGGCAGAAGGAAAAGCGGGAUGCGGGUUGGGGAAAAGGGAAUGUGGAGAGGAGGAAUGGCGGGAUGCACGUGAGGAAAAAUGGAAUUUUGGUGGCAGAAACAGCGGGGUGCGGGUAAGGGGAAGGAGAAUUUUGGCAGGAGGAAUAGCGGGAUGCAGGUGAGGGAGAAGGGAAUGUGGAGAGGAGGAAUGGCUGGAUGCGGGUUAGGGAAAAGGGAGUUUUGGCA